ACAUAAAGAAUUGAAGGAAAUCCUACCUGAUGAAUCAUUAUCAGACAUUAGUAACCUGUCACUAUUAGGAGGACGUGAUAUUAAGGGAGUAUUAGGAGGCUCUUAUACUCCAAAAGGUGAUCAGAUCAGUGAGUCUAAUGAUGAUCAACAAAAAGUUACAUUGACUAUCAAGGACCUGGUAGAUAUUAUACGAGUGUUAAAAGAUGG